rnacentral:rRNA from 1 species
UUUGAUCCUGGCUCAGAAUCAACGCUGGCGGCGUGCCUAACACAUGCAAGUCGAACGCGAAAACCCCGCAAGGGGUUAGUAGAGUGGCGAACGGGUGAGUAACACGUGGGUGACCUACCUUCGAAUGGGGGAUAACGUCCCGAAAGGGACGCUAAUACCGCAUAACAUCCUGCUUUUGAACAAGUGGAGAUCAAAGCCGGGGAUCGCAAGACCUGGCGUUUGAAGAGGGGCCCGCGUCUGAUUAGCUAGUUGGUGAGGUAACGGCUCACCAAGGCGACGAUCAGUAUCCGGCCUGAGAGGGCGGACGGACACACUGGGACUGAGACACGGCCCAGACUCCUACGGGAGGCAGCAGUGGGGAAUUGUUCGCAAUGGGCGCAAGCCUGACGACGCA